UUAAGCGACUAAGCGUACACGGUGGAUGCCCUGGCAGUCAGAGGCGAUGAAGGACGUGCUAAUCUGCGAUAAGCGUCGGUAAGGUGAUAUGAACCGUUAUAACCGGCGAUUUCCGAAUGGGGAAACCCAGUGUGAUUCGUCACACUAUCAUUAACUGAAUCCAUAGGUUAAUGAGGCGAACCGGGGGAACUGAAACAUCUAAGUACCCCGAGGAAAAGAAAUCAACCGAGAUUCCCCCAGUAGCGGCGAGCGAACGGGGAGCAGCCCAGAGCCUGAAUCAGUGUGUGUGUUAGUGGAAGCGUCUGGAAAGGCGCGCGAUACAGGGUGACAGCCCCGUACACAAAAAUGCACAUACUGUGAGCUCGAUGAGUAGGGCGGGACACGUGGUAUCCUGUCUGAAUAUGGGGGGACCAUCCUCCAAGGCUAAAUACUCCUGACUGACCGAUAGUGAACCAGUACCGUGAGGGAAAGGCGAAAAGAACCCCGGCGAGGGGAGUGAAAAAGAACCUGAAACCGUGUACGUACAAGCAGUGGGAGCCUCUUUAUGGGGUGACUGCGUACCUUUUGUAUAAUGGGUCAGCGACUUAUAUUCUGUAGCAAGGUUAACCGAAUAGGGGAGCCGAAGGGAAACCGAGUCUUAACUGGGCGUUAAGUUGCAGGGUAUAGACCCGAAACCCGGUGAUCUAGCCAUGGGCAGGUUGAAGGUUGGGUAACACUAACUGGAGGACCGAACCGACUAAUGUUGAAAAAUUAGCGGAUGACUUGUGGCUGGGGGUGAAAGGCCAAUCAAACCGGGAGAUAGCUGGUUCUCCCCGAAAGCUAUUUAGGUAGCGCCUCGUGAAUUCAUCUCCGGGGGUAGAGCACUGUUUCGGCAAGGGGGUCAUCCCGACUUACCAACCCGAUGCAAACUGCGAAUACCGGAGAAUGUUAUCACGGGAGACACACGGCGGGUGCUAACGUCCGUCGUGAAGAGGGAAACAACCCAGACCGCCAGCUAAGGUCCCAAAGUCAUGGUUAAGUGGGAAACGAUGUGGGAAGGCCCAGACAGCCAGGAUGUUGGCUUAGAAGCAGCCAUCAUUUAAAGAAAGCGUAAUAGCUCACUGGUCGAGUCGGCCUGCGCGGAAGAUGUAACGGGGCUAAACCAUGCACCGAAGCUGCGGCAGCGACACUAUGUGUUGUUGGGUAGGGGAGCGUUCUGUAAGCCUGUGAAGGUGUGCUGUGAGGUAUGCUGGAGGUAUCAGAAGUGCGAAUGCUGACAUAAGUAACGAUAAAGCGGGUGAAAAGCCCGCUCGCCGGAAGACCAAGGGUUCCUGUCCAACGUUAAUCGGGGCAGGGUGAGUCGACCCCUAAGGCGAGGCCGAAAGGCGUAGUCGAUGGGAAACAGGUUAAUAUUCCUGUACUUGGUGUUACUGCGAAGGGGGGACGGAGAAGGCUAUGUUGGCCGGGCGACGGUUGUCCCGGUUUAAGCGUGUAGGCUGGUUUUCCAGGCAAAUCCGGAAAAUCAAGGCUGAGGCGUGAUGACGAGGCACUACGGUGCUGAAGCAACAAAUGCCCUGCUUCCAGGAAAAGCCUCUAAGCAUCAGGUAACAUCAAAUCGUACCCCAAACCGACACAGGUGGUCAGGUAGAGAAUACCAAGGCGCUUGAGAGAACUCGGGUGAAGGAACUAGGCAAAAUGGUGCCGUAACUUCGGGAGAAGGCACGCUGAUACGUAGGUGAAGUCCCUUGCGGAUGGAGCUGAAAUCAGUCGAAGAUACCAGCUGGCUGCAACUGUUUAUUAAAAACACAGCACUGUGCAAACACGAAAGUGGACGUAUACGGUGUGACGCCUGCCCGGUGCCGGAAGGUUAAUUGAUGGGGUUAGCGGUAACGCGAAGCUCUUGAUCGAAGCCCCGGUAAACGGCGGCCGUAACUAUAACGGUCCUAAGGUAGCGAAAUUCCUUGUCGGGUAAGUUCCGACCUGCACGAAUGGCGUAAUGAUGGCCAGGCUGUCUCCACCCGAGACUCAGUGAAAUUGAACUCGCUGUGAAGAUGCAGUGUACCCGCGGCAAGACGGAAAGACCCCGUGAACCUUUACUAUAGCUUGACACUGAACAUUGAGCCUUGAUGUGUAGGAUAGGUGGGAGGCUUUGAAGUGUGGACGCCAGUCUGCAUGGAGCCGACCUUGAAAUACCACCCUUUAAUGUUUGAUGUUCUAACGUUGGCCCCUGAUCGGGGUUGCGGACAGUGUCUGGUGGGUAGUUUGACUGGGGCGGUCUCCUCCUAAAGAGUAACGGAGGAGCACGAAGGUUGGCUAAUCCUGGUCGGACAUCAGGAGGUUAGUGCAAUGGCAUAAGCCAGCUUGACUGCGAGCGUGACGGCGCGAGCAGGUGCGAAAGCAGGUCAUAGUGAUCCGGUGGUUCUGAAUGGAAGGGCCAUCGCUCAACGGAUAAAAGGUACUCCGGGGAUAACAGGCUGAUACCGCCCAAGAGUUCAUAUCGACGGCGGUGUUUGGCACCUCGAUGUCGGCUCAUCACAUCCUGGGGCUGAAGUAGGUCCCAAGGGUAUGGCUGUUCGCCAUUUAAAGUGGUACGCGAGCUGGGUUUAGAACGUCGUGAGACAGUUCGGUCCCUAUCUGCCGUGGGCGCUGGAGAACUGAGGGGGGCUGCUCCUAGUACGAGAGGACCGGAGUGGACGCAUCACUGGUGUUCGGGUUGUCAUGCCAAUGGCACUGCCCGGUAGCUAAAUGCGGAAGAGAUAAGUGCUGAAAGCAUCUAAGCACGAAACUUGCCCCGAGAUGAGUUCUCCCUGACUCCUUGAGAGUCCUGAAGGAACGUUGAAGACGACGACGUUGAUAGGCCGGGUGUGUAAGCGCAGCGAUGCGUUGAGCUAACCGGUACUAAUGAACCGUGAGGCUUAACCUU
rnacentral:rRNA from 1 species